rnacentral:rRNA from 1 species
GUGAGGAAUAUUGGUCAAUGGGCGCGAGCCUGAACCAGCCAAGUAGCGUGAAGGAUGACUGCCCUAUGGGUUGUAAACUUCUUUUAUAAAGGAAUAAAGUCUAUUACGUGUAAUAGUUUGUAUGUACUUUAUGAAUAAGCAUCGGCUAACUCCGUGCCAGCAGCCGCGGUAAUACGGAGGAUGCGAGCGUUAUCCGGAUUUAUUGGGUUUAAAGGGAGCGUAGAUGGGAUUUUAAGUCAGCUGUGAAAGUUUGAGGCUCAACCUUAAAAUUGCAGUUGAAACUGGGAUUCUUGAGUAUGGAUGCGGUAGGCGGAAUUCGUGGUGUAGCGGUGAAAUGCUUAGAUAUCACGAAGAACUCCGAUUGCGAAAGCAGCUUACUAAGCCAUAACUGACAUUGAUGCUCGAAAGUGUGGGUAUCAAACAGGAUUAGAAACCCUAGUAGUCC